GUUGUAUCUCCAGAGGAACAGUUAUAGUGGUGAGUUGUAUCUCCAGACAGAGGGACAGUUAUAGUGGUGAGUUGUAUCUCCAGACAUAGGAACAGUUAUAGUGGUGAGUUGUAUCUCCAGAGGAACAGUUCUAGUGGUGAGUUGUAUCGCCAGAGGAACAGUUAUAGUGGUGAGUUGUAUCGCCAGAGGAACAGUUAUAGUGGUGAGUUGUAUCCCCAGACAGAGGAACAGUUAUAGUGGUGAGUUGUAUCUCCAGACAUAGGAACAGUUAUAGUGGUGAGUUGUAUCUCCAGACAGAGGAACAGUUAUAGUGGUGAGUUGUAUCUCCAGAGGAACAGUUAUAGUGGUGAGUUGUAUCUCCAGACAGAGGAACAGUCAUAGUGGUGAGUUGUAUCUCCAGACAGAGGAACAGUUAUAGUGGUGAGUUGUAUCUCCA
ensembl:lncRNA